UGUUGAUUAGAGGCAACUGCCGGUAAAU
rnacentral:sRNA from 1 species